rnacentral:lncRNA from 1 species
UCGUGUUCUUCCAGAUCCUCCUCCUCCUCUUCUUCCUCCUCUUGUUCACACUCUCGAUCAGGCUCUAGCUCUUCUUCAUCCUCAUCUUGUUCUUCGGCAUCCUCCUCUUCCUCCUCAUCCUCCUCCUCGUCAUCAUCAUCUUCUUCAUCAUCAUCCGAAGAAAGUGACAGUGAAGAAGAGGUCCAAAAGCGAGAAGGUACGCCUCACGCGAAAGCCUAUGACGAGGAAAGUGUCGCGUCACUGAGCGCUACCCAGGACGAAACCCAGGACGGAACCCAGGACAGCUUCCAGGCAAGCAAUGGAGCACCAGAGUCCGCGCACUUGUUACAGGGCGGAUAUAUGCUGGCAGCCUCAUAC